rnacentral:misc_RNA from 1 species
CGGCGGAUGGUCGAUUUCCCCCUCCCCCCCUCCGCCCGGGCUUCUCAUUGUCAGUUUCCUCCUUCGUCUCCUUCGUCGUAGGAACAAAGCCCAGAAGGUGACUUAUCGCUGUGAACCGCGUCGGACUCCGGAGGCGCUACGGUCGUCCUGCUUGCGAGGUGACGGAACGGAAGCGGUGCUCUCGGCCUUACCGUGGCGACGACGACGACGAGCGACGACGACGAGCAGCAGCAGCAGCAACCCGCUUAUACCGACCACGAAGACCACGGCGUAGAUCGUUCGACGAGUACUCUCACCCCGGUGCGACGCGGAGCGGUCAGAGAUCCUCGUUUGUGUUCCAGGUGUCGCGCGAUUGGCGGCGAUAAAGAAAAUAAGUACGCCCCGUCGGAUCGAUCUCUAUCCGACGUCGGUCGAGAUCCGCUGAAAAAUUUUCGUUUUCGUUUGUUUUUUCUGUUUUCUCUUUUUUUUUCUUCUCUUUUCACUCCCUUCGCAUCGCGAUACGAAGGACACCGCGAUACCGCUUCUCGUCGAUGCGUCGUAUACCCUCCCGAUGGCGCGCGCGGGCCGUACUUAUUGAAAUCAAAAUCCCGACUCAAAAGGCGAUACUCUGAUUUCAACCUCAAUUGACGCCAUAUUCGAGUAAACUUAUCGCCGGUACUCUACUACCGGCGGACCGACGACGCGGCACCGAACGAACAGAAUAUCUCGAGUGCCCGACUCUAAUGUCGGUCCGACCUAUCCCAAUUAGAGCAAACGUCCUUGAGGUGACUAACACCGUCCAACGUGACGGAGAGAAGUUUGACUCCAUCGGAUAAAGGACGGAGCUACUGAGAAAGCCCGCGCGCGGUCGCCAGCCCGCAUCAGGUUCUCUCUGUACGAGGGUACG